UUCUCCUCCUCUCCCCUCGCGCCCACAUCCCCGCCGCCGCACACCUCUCUUCCCUCUCCUUCUCUCCCUGCACCGCUGGUUGAGAGCGGGAGCGGCGCCGGCGCUGCCGCAGGUGGAGCCCGUCGCGAGCGCCAAGGAGUAUUGCCGGUGGAGCAGCCGCCGGUGGAGCGCAUCGCGAGCGCGCGGAGAGGCACCCCCGGUGGAGCCGACGCAGGUGGAGCGCGUCACAGCGCGGGGGAGCGGCGCCGCUGGUGGAGCAUGGCGUGAGCGCGUGGGGGUGGCACCGCCAGUGGAGCACGGGCCGCCGAUGCGGGUUUUUUUUCCGAUACGGCCGACGCCCACUUCUUCCUCUCUUGCAGUCAUCUCUCUUCCGAGGGCGGCUGAUGGCUUGGAAGAUGAGCUCAUGACUCUCUUCUCCUUCUCCAGGAUGCUGGUGGCGCGGUGGAGGAUGGGAUAUAAGUGGAGAGGAGAUGCACCUGAUGCGUCGGCCGUGUCUCACCGCCAUGGUUCCUGCCUCGCUUCGGUCUCUUCAACGGUGUCGGGUCGCCGUUCGGAAUUCUCCACGCGGCGCCGCCGGAAAGCUCCCACUGAUGGACGCCACCGUCCCUGUUCCUGUGACCCUGCGGCUGCUGGCAAUGGCAGGGAUGUUCCCGUCCCUAUGAUUGCUGCAGCGCCGAACUAUGCACACGGUGCCACCGGACGGCCACAUCGUGAUGCCGACCGACGCCUUCAUCCUCAGCUGCCGCCCCGACCGCCGCGCCCCACACGGCUGCUUGAUAAGCUGAAGUGCCCUCCUCUGGUGUGUUGAUGCUGACUUAAUGGCCUGCGAGGUCUGCGGCUGCACGUCCAGCUCGGCCAUCGGCACACGCGGCAAGUCGCGGUGCAGACCCAGUCCUCCUCCGGCUAUGGCGGUGCGGUGGUACUGGAUGCCUAACGGAAGUGAUGGGGCUUAGCGGAGGAGCUCGUGCAGCCGCGGUCGAGGGAGACCCGGAGCAGAGGCACUUCUUCAGGCAGUCUAUGAUGUUCUUGCACUGAACGAUGGUGUGCGGCGUGCAGCUUCUCAUCUUUGUCUGUCCUGAUACCUGGUUUCUUCAUCCAUUAGAUUCCGACGCAUCGGUGAUUCGGUGUGCGAUGUCCUUUUUUUUGUUCCAUUAUCCUGCCCUCUGUUUUGGUUUCAUGUACCUAGAGGAAGUCAACAGCAGCUAUAGGCAAAUUUGUAAGGAUAUUAACACUGAUAUUCAUAGUAAAGAUACACUGUUGGAGAAAAUAAAAUUGGAGUCCAAGGAGCUUCAGCAGCAAAACAUCGCCUGGCCAAAGAAAUUGACAGCGUCUUCUCCUGCAAGUUAGUAGCUUCCUCACAGUUAGACCGGCUUCUCCUGCAUAAUGUCAUACUUAGAGUUUGAGUGAUUUCAGGAAGCAGGUUGACUUGGAAAAUAAAAGCUUUGUUGUCAUAUCUCUUAGUUUUGUUUUUGGUUGGCUAGCCAUAGCUAAAUUGUCCAAAGGUAAGAUAUUCGAUAUUUCUGGAUUAUGUUAUUUUGAGACGUUCCAUAGUAGGGUAAAAUCCGGAGGGCUUGUGUUGCUUCUUAGGCUGUUGUGCCACAUGUUGGUCGCCCUGAUUUGCAUCCUCCUCCAGGUCAUGCACAAGGUCACGGUCGGUUAUAUGGUCGGUGGAUUCUGUUGUCCCAUCCUUGCCCGAUCUACCUUCUCCUCCGUGUGGUUCUUCGGCUUCACCUGUAGUUUCAGCGGUAACGUCUUGCUGGUGGCCGUGAAUUUUUUGCAAACCGUGUACAUUUUAUGGCUCUUUCAAGGAAGCUUGGCAAGUCCGUGAAUUGGCUGGUGAUGACAGUGAGUGGUUUCACUUAUUUGAUGAAUCCAUUCAGUGGGCUUCUUCUUUCCGGCUUAGACAUCUAUUUAUGACAGUAUUGUUACUAUGUGGUUUUACUAAUGAGUCAAGAUUGCUUGAUAAAUAUUGGCGGUAUAUGGCCGAUGAUCUGGCUUCACAGAUUGCAGUCUUUGGAUGACAGCCGCCAAGUUAUUCCUUCUGAAUAUUUAUAUGGCCAGUUGCUGCAAAAACUUUAUAUUAUGUUUGGAAGAAAUGGUUAUUCCUUGACACCUUUUAUAAUAUCUACAAAUUCUAUUUGUAGUGGAAGAUUACUCAGUAAUAGGCUAAUCUUAGAAGAGAUGCAAUACGACAUAAUCUGAAAGAUGUAUCUUCUUCUAUGCAUAAAAAAUUAUGAAGAGCAACUUGUUAUCUAUGAUCAAUCCAUGUCAGAGAGAUUGCAAAGACAGACCAGCGCCAGGUUUUCAGCGAAAACAGCCUAUGCAUUGCAUGUUGUAUUAUCUACUUCUCAUGUGUACUGAAUUUUCUUUUUUACUGCUAAUUUCAGAGUUCAGAUGUAGUUGGAGUGGUCACCAGGAUAAUUGGUAUUAUGCUGUCAAAGAUAAAUCAGAAACCAAGGAGACAUGUGUAUUUAAAGGAUGCAAGGUAAGGCUCAUUGUAUAGAUAGCAGUGCUCAGAAAAGACAUUAUAAAAGUGCCUGCCUCUGUUAAGUGGUAAACUCACCGUUAUUACUUGAUGGGAAGAACACAUUGAGGACUUUGAUGCACAAGGCCUCCAUCAAGGUGGCCUUUGCCCAUUUUUUAGACAUCAAAAUUCCAGACAUCUGCUAAGACAACAAUAACUAAUUAGGCCCAUUACUCCCAUCUGGCGCAAACAUUUUUAUUGUUACAGGGAUUAUAGCUUAUAAGUGCCGUACAUGUUCAUAUAUACUAGACAAGCAAAGGUAAUCUUAUGUUAUAAAUUGUUUUUUCCAUGAAUAUAGUCAACCAAUAUUUAUGUAUUUAUUGUUGAAAGGUCCACAAUGUCUGCUGAUAGGAUUUUUCUUUCAGUAUAACAUCUGUUGAAACAGCUAGCUGCCAUAUUUUGUUUUGAACGGACUGCUGUGGUGUAUAGAUUAUAUCAUAUUUCAAUAUAUGUGCAUUUUAAAUUUAAUUUUGGUGUCACGCGCAUUAUGGAAAAACUACACAUUAAAAUACGACAACUUGCAUUGUUUACAAGAGAUGAUGUCAUUCUUUUUAUAAACAUGUGUGCGACACCCAUCAUCAUAAUAACGUGUGCCCAAAAGUAAAACCACCAAUGUCAUAUAGUUGUGAUCAAGCCUAUACAUCUGCCUAGCUUCUCCAAAACAAAUACCAUUGAUUUUAUACAGCUGAUUUUAGUGAUUCCUUCAACCAUACUGUGACUAACAUCAAAUAUAUUUGGAUUUUGAGGUGCCUAUAUUUUAUUACAGAGUGUCUACCUUUCAAAAUGGGUUCAUCAGAGAAGAACAAGGAAGAGAUGGUAGAUUAAUUUCCUCUCUUUUUGCCAUGCUACAACAAUGCGCCGGUAAUCGCUCUCUCUCCUCCUUUUGUUCACCUUCAGUUACCAGUCAACCGGUUUAUUUCCCACGAUGGAUUGGUGAAAGCGGUAUUGCCAUCUCCAGAACAAUCCAGUUCCUCUUCCUCGCCAAUCCCCACCGCUCAAGUUCCAAAAAAAAAUCCCAUCGCUGCCACUCGAGUGCUCCACCCGGUGGGGCGGCGCCCCAUCUCCCUCCAUGGCUGCCGUGUCUGUACCGACGUAUCAAGGUUGCACAUCCGCAGGACGAGCUCCUACGUGCCUUGGCCCUGCUGUGUCUAGACAGCUGCAGCUCCCCACGACCUCGCCGGUUCGUCCGCUCUAUGCCUGCUUGGCAUGUAGCAACACAACCUUCUUCCCCCACUCCUCGAGCGCCAUCGCCGUCGACACAUACUGUACCAAGAGUGACACAGGGUGUGCCGGCUUCAUCCCGCUCCUUCGAGCUGGGGAACACCCACAGGUUGAGGUGGCAUGGCUCCGCCAUCACCAUCGUCAGCCAGGUACACUUCGUCGGCUGCCGGUGCACUAUCAUCGGUUCAGAGGAGGAUAGGCGGAGCCUGGCAGGAUCAAGAUGCUUUGUGCGGUGGUGUAUCAUCUGUGCCAUCCUCUUCUGGAUUGUUUUCUUCAUUUGUUCCUUGCUUUUCUCUACGGGUUUAUCAGUUUGUUGCUUUCUGCUCCCUAAAGAAGAUUUUUCUUGGUGAUGUAGGCCAUUGGUGUUUCUCAGCGGCACCUAGCUAUUGUUAGUCCAGCGCCGUAGCGCUUUGCCAUCAAGCUGGGUAUCCGAUGAGUGUAGGUCAUCUUUAGAGGCCAUCAGUGCUGAAGACACACCCUACUAUCCAAUAUUUGAUUACCCCUACAUGGAAGCAGAUGUGAAGCUAACCCAAUUUAAUAACUGUUUUUUCAAUAGGAAUCCAAAUCGUGGCAAAAUUAUAUCCUUUUCUUCCCAAGAUCACUGCAAUUCAGCUCCGUACAUGAUAGCCUGUAUUUUGUGUGCUCAUUAUGUUGUUCCAUUAUAGAUGCCUAAUUCUGCUACCUGACAAACACAGUCAAAGUAGCUCUUAUUUGAUCCACUCUCCUAGCAUCAGAGGAAAAGAUAAUCUUGCAACAUUACUAUAUAUUAAAUGCCAAUAUCAGUAACUGUGCAAAAAUAAAACAUAAAGCAGUAGACAGGAAGUUCUUUUAUAAGGUUAGUAUGAUGUAUUCACAUAUAUCCACUUCAGAAUUUUUGCAUGUUCAGAUCAGAAAAUUGCAUCUUCUCCAUGAAAUAAAGAUUUAGCUUUGACAGAUAUUACAGGGAAACACAAUGAAGGAAUAUGUCCCAACCAAGAGCUUUGAUCAACAAAGAGAACAACUGAAGGAAAGAACAACUUAUACAUUUGGGGAUGUUCAUUUUUUCUCACAUGUUCGCACUUCUCUGCUUUGCUUUGAAGACAAAUAUUGGUACUAGCAUUCUUUUUCCAAGUUUUUUUUGGUAAUUUUAAUGCGCAUUACGAGUCAUCCUUUUUUGUUACUUUGUCUGACAUGCCUUAUGAUAUUAAUGUGAGCUUUGUUAUGUCCACAUAGUUGCACAUGACUUGCCAUUUGAUCAGUGUGUUGGAUACUUUAGUUCAUACUAAGGGAGCUUAUUGCGUGUUAAGCGACAGCCAACUGUACCUAAUCCUAUCAUGAAAAAGAUGUUGGAAGAAAACUUAGCUCUGUGGCGAUAGAUACAAUAGAGUCCUAGCCGUCGGUUCCCAAAUGUGGCAGCAAAUCCAAGGUAUUUUUUAUAAAAAAAAUGCAUAGAAGGAUUGGUAUCUGAUGCUCAGUGCUUAAAUUCCUUCUAUUACAAUGCAGACUUUGAUAUCUUCAAAGCUUUGAGAGAAGAAAAUACUCUGUUCAGAUUCUCAGAUUUUAGUUGUCGUACCGACCUAUUCAUGUGCUCAUUUUCUUUUUUAUGUUAUUUAGAAAAAAUGAAUCCAUCUAAAUGCUACUGUGGUAAGUUCCUGCACAUUAUUCAGUCUCAAAAUUUCCAUUGAUAUAUGCAUUAUAGGAGCUAAUCAUCUGGAAAAUUUUGCAGAAAUAAGACUAUGUUUACGCAGCCUAUCCAACGUUCUAUCCACUACCGCCUGCAGUUAAGAUUCUCAGAUUUUAGUUGUCUGUACUAUACCGACCUAUUCAUGUGCUCAUGUUUUUUUAUGCUAUUUAGAAAAAAUGAAUCCAUCUAAAUGCUACUGUGGUAAGUUCCUGCACAUUAUUCAGUCUCAAAAUUUCCAUUGAUAUAUCCAUUAUAGGGGCUAAUCAUCUGGAAUCUUUUGCAGGAACAAGACCAUGUUUAUGCAGCCUAUCCAACCUUCUAUCCACUACCGCCUGCAGUUAUUCAGUACUAAAACUACUCACGGAAUGCCUCCAAUUUGUCACGGCAUGUCUACUUGGAGUCACAAUGUGAUCAGUUCCUACUUGCAAGCACAAUGUGAUAAGUUUAGACAAUGCCUAGGAUGUGUUACAUGCAUUUCUUAUUAGUGAUGCACAUCAAGUCAAGGCAUAAUUGGAGUCCCAAAUCUUGCAUCUCACGUUGUUGUUAAAAAAUGUGACCAAAUAGUCUACUAAUUAAUACAAAACAUCUAUAGAUUGCCUGGUUUAAGUUAUGUCACUUUACUAAGCAUCUGUAUAAUGGCAUCUUUUCUUGCCUCUCCGGUAUUUUGUUUAUAUAUUUAUCUGGUGGGAAUUAUUUGCCUUACGGAGAAAAGCGCUGAAAAGCGGUACGACCAGAGGCAGUAUAAUCCUAUCCGAUGAACAUAAUCUGAACCUUUUUUGUACAUGAAUCUAAACUAUUUUUUGCUUGAGGACUUGUGCUUGCUGUCC